rnacentral:rRNA from 1 species
UACGUAGGGGGCAAGCGUUGUCCGGAUUCAUUGGGCGUAAAGAGCGUGUAGGCGGCCAGGUAGGUCGGUUGUGAAAACUGGAGGCUCAACCUUCAGAGGUCGACCGAAACCAUCUGGCUAGAGUCCGGGAGAGGUGAGUGGAAUUCCCGGUGUAGCGGUGAAAUGCGUAGAGAUGUGGAGGAACACCAAUGGCGAAGGCAGCCUUCUGGGCCAACACUGACGCUCAUGCACGAAAGCGUGGGGAGCAAACAGG